ACUAGCCCCGCCAGAUCAGCACCAGACAGAGCGUCCCACACGCCAUCAGAAGCCAGGAGAACGAACUCGUCCUCAUCCUGGCGUGCCAGCGCAGCCACCUCGGGCUCAGCGGACACGAGCUGCAGCUCAGGAGGCCUCCCCGGUGCCUGCUUGUAGGCGAAGUCACCUAGGGCUCGCGACACGGCCAGGGACCCCUCCACGCGCCGUCGACGGACUGUGCCACCGGCGUCGUGGAUGCGCUCGCGUUCCCGAGGCCGGUGGGGACGAUGGUCCUCGGUGCAGAAGGCCACAGAGCCCGAGCGACUCAGAAGCGCGCGCGAGUCCCCGCAGUGUGCCAGGUAGAGGAAUCGCGGGGACACGAGCAGAGCCACAGCCGUUGAGCCACCGGGGUCGCCGCGGGGCCAGAGAGCGCUCAGCUGCGCGUCUGCUUGGAGGAAGGCGCUACGAAGAGCCUGGCGCACGCCGUCGGGCUCCUGGGGCGCAGGACCUAGUUCCCCCAGCACGUAACCUGGGAGGUGGCGAGCUCCGAAGCGCGCGGCCCGAGCUCCUCCAUGGCCAUCCAAGACGGCGAAAAAAGCCCAUCCUGAUGGCAGCCCGGGCAAAGCCAGCCGAGCGCAGUGCGCGUCCUCCAUGCGUGCGCGCCAGCCCUGAACGGCGCUCGCCCCGAAGCGCAGGCCGGAUGUGGCCGCUGCACCCCUGUGCAGCCUCUGCCAACACCGGGGCGCAGCCAGGAGACUCCCAGACGCACCAGGCACGCUGCACUCCUCCUCCACCUCUUGCUCCACCACCUGCUGAGCUCGAGCGGCCCAUCCGAGUCGCUCCAGCAGGCGGACAAAGGCCGCCAUCCUCCGGCCAGGAGAUCAGGAAGGUUCCCUCAUUGUCCCCGCCUUCCCUAAUCUCUUUUCUGUGAGACUUUAAACCAAGUAAAUCUCUUUCCUAUCCCUUGACCUGGCCUGAAGUCGGGUCACUAAGAGAUAUAUAUAUCUCUUAGUGUAGAAGAAAUAUAUUGUAAUGUAUAUGUAAAAUAUAUGUAAAGAAAAAAAUAUACAUAUAUAAUAUUUCUUUUCUUUCCCCACACUUUCUGGGUCAGGGGCUGAUUGAGCUUGGCGAAUAAAAGCAAGUUAUUUGCAAUCUA
rnacentral:lncRNA from 1 species